rnacentral:rRNA from 1 species
UACAGAGGGUGCGAGCGUUGUUCGGAAUUACUGGGCGUAAAGCGCGCGUAGGCGGCUUUUGCAAGUCGGGUGUGAAAUCCCCCAGGCUCAACCUGGGAACUGCAUUCGAGACUGCAUUGCUAGAGUAUGGGGAGAGGGAAGUGGAAUUUCAGGUGUAGCGGUGAAAUGCGUAGAUAUCUGAAGGAACAUCAGUGGCGAAAGCGACUUCCUGGACCAAUACUGACGCUCAUGUGCGAAAGCGUGGGGAGCAAACAGG